UACGAAGGGGGCGAGCGUUGUUCGGAAUUACUGGGCGUAAAGAGCGCGCAGGCGGUUGUUUAAGUCGAAUGUGAAAGCCCCCGGCUCAACUGGGGAGGGUCAUUCGAUACUGAUCGACUUGAAGGCAGGAGAGGGAAGUGGAAUUCCGGGUGUAGUGGUGAAAUGCGUAGAUAUGCGGAGGAACACCGAUGGCGAAGGCAAUCCCCUGGGCCUGCACUGACGCUCAUGCACGAAAGCGUGGGGAGCAAACAGG
rnacentral:rRNA from 1 species